rnacentral:rRNA from 1 species
AAGGAAUAUUGGUCAAUGGAGGGAACUCUGAACCAGCCAUGCCGCGUGAAGGAUGACGGCCCUCUGGGUUGUAAACUUCUUUUGGAUGGGGCGAAAAAACGGGAUUUAUCCUGGACUGACGGUACCAUCAGAAUAAGCACCGGCUAACUCCGUGCCAGCAGCCGCGGUAAUACGGAGGGUGCAAGCGUUAUCCGGAAUCACUGGGUUUAAAGGGUGCGUAGGCGGUUGUAUAAGUCAGGGGUGAAAGGAUGCAGCUUAACUGUAUAAUUGCCUUUGAUACUGUAUGACUUGAAUAAGGUUGAGGUUGGCGGAAUGUGACAUGUAGCGGUGAAAUGCUUAGAUAUGUCAUGGAACACCGAUUGCGAAGGCAGCUGACUGGGCCUUUAUUGACGCUGAGGCACGAAAGCGUGGGUAGCGAAC